rnacentral:lncRNA from 1 species
ACCAAUGCCGCCUAUCCAGGAGCACCAUCUCCAAGCAUAAAUGCCCCUCCAAAUCCACCUCCUGCAAAUCCUCAUCCUCCUACUUCAGCAGCUCCGUCCCCUUUCCCUGGAUUCCCUCCAAAUUCAGGUCCAAAUCCAAAUCCGUCACCAGCUUAUUCUUCCCCUCAGUCAUCUACCUAUCCUCCAGCGCCAACAACUUCGGCCCCUUACGCCCCACCUCCUCAAUCAUCAGGCUAUCCUCCAGCGCCAACACCUUCGGCCCCUUACGCCCCGCCUCAAUCAUCUGGCUAUCCUCCAGCGCCAACACCACCGGCUCCUUAUACUCCACCCCAAUCAUCAAGCUAUCCU